AUUGAACGCUGGCGGCAUGCUUUACACAUGCAAGUCGAACGGCAGCGCGGGGCAACCUGGCGGCGAGUGGCGAACGGGUGAGUAAUACAUCGGAACGUACCCAGAAGUGGGGGAUAACGUAGCGAAAGUUACGCUAAUACCGCAUACGUUCUACGGAAGAAAGUGGGGGACCUUCGGGCCUCAUGCUUUUGGAGCGGCCGAUGUCUGAUUAGCUAGUUGGUGAGGUAAAGGCUCACCAAGGCGACGAUCAGUAGCUGGUCUGAGAGGACGACCAGCCACACUGGGACUGAGACACGGCCCAGACUCCUACGGGAGGCAGCAGUGGGGAAUUUUGGACAAUGGGCGCAAGCCUGAUCCAGCAAUGCCGCGUGAGUGAAGAAGGCCUUCGGGUUGUAAAGCUCUUUUGUCAGGGAAGAAACGGCUGAGGAUAGUACCUUCGGCUAAUGACGGUACCUGAAGAAUAAGCACCGGCUAACUACGUG
rnacentral:rRNA from 1 species